UUGUGAACCUGGAAGGCAGUGUG
rnacentral:misc_RNA from 1 species